GCGACAGAUGCGGUGAAGGGGGGCCAUCGUACGGUC
rnacentral:sRNA from 1 species